UGCUAUACAUGCAAGUCGAACGAGUUCUCGUUGAUGAUCGGUGCUUGCACCGAGAUUCAACAUGGAACGAGUGGCGGACGGGUGAGUAACACGUGGGUAACCUGCCCUUAAGUGGGGGAUAACAUUUGGAAACAGAUGCUAAUACCGCAUAGAUCCAAGAACCGCAUGGUUCUUGGCUGAAAGAUGGCGUAAGCUAUCGCUUUUGGAUGGACCCGCGGCGUAUUAGCUAGUUGGUGAGGUAAUGGCUCACCAAGGCGAUGAUACGUAGCCGAACUGAGAGGUUGAUCGGCCACAUUGGGACUGAGACACGGCCCAAACUCCUACGGGAGGCAGCAGUAGGGAAUCUUCCACAAUGGACGCAAGUCUGAUGGAGCAACGCCGCGUGAGUGAAGAAGGCUUUCGGGUCGUAAAACUCUGUUGUUGGAGAAGAAUGGUCGGCAGAGUAACUGUUGUCGGCGUGACGGUAUCCAACCAGAAAGCCACGGCUAACUACGUGCCAGCAGCCCGCGGUAAAA
rnacentral:rRNA from 2 species